UCUCUCUGCACUGACUGUUUCUGCAGUCUCUCUGAGUGUAACUCCAGAUCAAAAGCAGUUCUUCAGUCUUGGUGCUCUAGCGAUUCUGUCUUGUAAUGAUGAUGAUGAACAAAGAGUUGAUGGAUGGACAGUGAAGAGGACCAGAGGAGGAGUCACUGAGAGAUGUGGAGCAGCUGCAGGCUUUGUUCUUAAAAAUUCUCAGUGUCAACUCAAGUUGCGUGACCCCUCUGAUGGAGCUUACUUCUGUGAAAGCUCAUCUGGACAGCGUAGUGAUGAAGUCAACAUCAUUGUUUCAGCUGGUUCCCUGAUCCUGGACAUCCCUUCAUCUCCUGUGUGGACAGGAAGUAAUGUGACUCUGCUCUGUCAAUGCAGAGAUGGUGAACCGGUGAAGUCUUAUUUCUAUAAAGAUGGGAAGAUAAUUGGAUCUGAUUCUAAAGACAAUUUGACUCUCACUAAUGUUCAGAAGUCUGAUGAAGGUCUCUACUCGUGCUCCACUGAGGUUCAUACAGAUACUCAGAAAAGCAGACUUACAGUCAGAGGUCA